GACUGAUCAAGCGUUCCACCUGUGUUUGGAGUGGGCCACGCCAGCCGCCAUCGUCUUUCGACGCUGCGCGGUCGUCUAUCCGUCCACCACGCUCGCUGGCGUACGCUCCAUUGUACAUAGACAGACAGUCUGCGCCCUCCUUCCUGUCUUAUAGCCCUUUGUGUCGUACCCGCCGCCGCUUGGAGGGUUUUCGCCUCCGUCAAAUGCGAAUCCGCCAGUCCCUGUGCAUUAACCGAACCCUCAAUACCCACAGUAUGGCACAGCCGCCCCGGCCCCCACGGCGCUCCCGUACCUCCACCUCAGCCGUACGGAAUACUUCCGCAGCCGUACGGCUCUCCAAGUGCCUAUGGCGGUCCUACGGACCGCCUCCCCCGCCGCCACAGCCGCAAGUGAUUUACAUUCAACAGCCGGCACCUCCACCACCUCUGCCGCAGACCAUCAUCGUGCAAGGCGGCGGCUGUCAGGGUAAGGAGUACUAAUGUCGCCGAUGUCGGCGCUACCACCGCCACAGGCACGAUUGGCCUUACGGGCUGAUGGGGUGUGGAGCGUUGUAGAUAACGUGGCGUGAGUGGAUAGAGCAUGGGUUCACGGAGCCGCAAGCCUCCCUCUCUCUGGCAUUCUCUGGUGCGGCGAGAGCCCCUCGUUGUCGCGUCUUUGUCGGUCGCCUCCAUUGCACGUUGUGCGUUUCUUGCGGGCGUGUCUCCUCUUGUGAGCCCCGGUGGAAGGGCCCAGUGCUACGUACAGAUGCCGCUCGCCACCGCAGGCUUUAGGAUUGUGUCGUAUGCGUGUCGUGUUCCUUCCGCCUUCGCAGUGUCAUGGUCAAAUACAUGAGAGCUCCGUCUUCGGCGUAUUUACUCAGCUUUUUUUUUCGAGUUUCCUUCGAUGCAGGUGAACCGUUGAAAGCAAGGAGACGCAGUCCGACCGCGACGGCGCUAACCUUCGAUGAUGCGCAAGGAAGGCGCCGGCGUUGCUGGCGUCUCUGGUGGGUAGGAAGCAAUUUUUUCUUUGGAAGCGGUAGAACGAACAACAUGACGCCAACGCUCAAGUACCUGCGCGAGCAAUCUGAGCCUUUUUCCCACCUCAUACGCACACGCAUGCGCUGCUGGGUCGCACACGUCUCCCGCGGCUGCUGAUUAUGGACUAGCUGUUCUUCCCUUCCCUACUGCAGAGACUUUAGCUCGACUGCGACGCUCGUAGCGUACACAAGCCUGCCGCUCUUGCGUGCUUCUGUAUACGUCGACCGCCACUGCGGCAGCUCGCCGCAAUCCGACCUUCGCCUCUCCGCCAAAAUACGUUCUCGUUGCCAG
rnacentral:misc_RNA from 1 species